rnacentral:lncRNA from 1 species
AUGCACCACAAUGUAAAACAUUCAUACAGGACACUAAACAUAUGCAAAAAAAAAAAAAAUUCGGACAAAAAAAACAGAAAUAAUUCUAUAAAUCAAAUAUGUAAUGGAAGAAGUAGAGGAUUAACUUUGAAACAGAUUGAUAUAAUGGAAAGGGAAGAUAAGGUCGAGCUAGCCAAUGCACAUGAAAUGAAUGUAGUGGACAAAACGGAUGACCUAAAUAAAACAUUAUUACUACAUUUCAAACAAGUAGAACGAUCUAUACAGAUAUAUAAGUAUAUAGUCGAUUCUUAUCAAAAUGUCUUUUCAGAUUUAUAUUUUUAUUCUUUGUUUAAUUUAAUAUAUUCCUUACAAUUAACAAAUAAAGCUCAUCAAAUUAUUAUCCUUUGUAAAAAUAUGAACCAACUAUUUUUUAAUAAUAUACAUACUUAUAUAUUAUUGUCGUAUUAUUAUUUUGUUACUAAUAUAUCUUUUAAGUCAUACACUGUUCUCAUAAAGGCUUAUUACAUAUAUAAUAAUUAUCCAGAUGUAUAUUACAUGCUUUCUUUGUUGGCACUAAAAACUAAAAAGUACAAAGAAUAUGUUACUUUCAGCGAACUAACUCUUUUUUUUUAGUUUUAAAAAUCAAAUAAUUAGGAAUUAUAUUUUUACAAAAAUAUAUGAUAAUCAAUAUAAGUAUAUACCAUCUUAUUUGUUGUAUUCUAAUUUUAAAAAAAAUAUUACAAACGACAUUGUGAAUAUAGAGUGUACACAUAUAUAUAAUUAUUUAUGUUACACCUAUGUUAAACAUUUAAUACAAUCAUACAUAAUUUUUUUUUUAUUUUUAUAGUAAUAGGUAAAAUAAAAAAAAAAAUAAAAAAUAGAGCUUAAAUAAU